rnacentral:rRNA from 1 species
UACGGAGGGUGCAAGCGUUAUCCGGAUUCACUGGGUUUAAAGGGUGCGUAGGUGGGCAAGUAAGUCAGUGGUGAAAUCUCCGGGCUUAACCCGGAAACUGCCAUUGAUACUAUUUGUCUUGAAUACUGUGGAGGUCAGCGGAAUAUGUCAUGUAGCGGUGAAAUGCUUAGAUAUGACAUAGAACACCAAUUGCGAAGGCAGCUCGACUACA